rnacentral:rRNA from 1 species
UGGGGAAUAUUGGACAAUGGGCGAAAGCCUGAUCCAGCCAUGCCGCGUGUGUGAAGAAGGUCUUCGGAUUGUAAAGCACUUUAAGUUGGGAGGAAGGGCAUUAACCUAAUACGUUAGUGUUUUGACGUUACCGACAGAAUAAGCACCGGCUAACUCUGUGCCAGCAGCCGCGGGAAUACAGAGGGUGCAAGCGUUAAUCGGAAUUACUGGGCGUAAAGCGCGCGUAGGUGGUUUGUUAAGUUGGAUGUGAAAGCCCCGGGCUCAACCUGGGAACUGCAUCCAAAACUGGCAAGCUAGAGUACGGUAGAGGGUGGUGGAAUUUCCUGUGUAGCGAUGAAAUGCGUAGAUAUAGGAAGGAACACCAGUGGCGAAGGCGACCACCUGGACUGAUACUGACACUGAGGUGCGAAAGCGUGGGGAGCAAACA